UCUCUCUCCUUCCAGCUGACUCCUGCCCAAGAACGCCCUCAGACCAGGCCUGUGCUCCAGGGAUUGGCUGGGUUACCAGUUGCCCCAGACCAUUUGGUGCUUGGUCAGCUCCCACACUGCAUGGUGACUCCUGAGUCAGAUUUCCCGACCUCAUGACUUCAGCAUGUGUGGCCGAAGGGACUGAGUGGUCACACUCUCCACAGCAUCUGGCAUGCUCUGUCUCUUGGGCUUCAUUUUGCAAAUUUUCUAAGGAAAAAAAUUCUGAUCAUCUCAUUUCUUUCCCAUUGGAUGCAAUGGGCACUGCAGUCUUGCUUAAAGUCUGGACAUCAAAGCUUGAAAGGUCAUGAGGAGAGUUGAGACUGAAGCAUCAGGCCAGGACCAGAUCAGCCAAGAGCCAGAGUGUCUGGACUUCAUCCCACAGCCAGAGAAGACAGAGACUUUUAAGAAUUUUGAACUGAUGAAGCUACUGAGGCAAAGGAAAUGACAGACCUUUCCUAAAGCCACCAGGCCAGUAUUAGUAAAACUGAAACUGGAACCCAGAUUCCCAUUGGCCAGUCUUCUCAACACCCUCUUCUCAGAACCAUGAUGUCUCUUCACCCCAGGAAGACCCAUUUUUUAACAGGUUCCCGAAGACCAAAAAAAUCUCCCAAGAUUCAACAGAAUUAUACUCGAAUGGAGAAACUACAGUGCCUGUGACAGAGGGAGCUCCCAGGGAAUUUCCUAAGUCUGACUCUGACGUAUGAAAGAAUGAGACCAUAAGCCCAAUGGCAUGAAGAGCUGCUCUUGCAUAAAAUACACCCUCGUUUUGCAUUGGCUUUUGAAAAGAGAGCUAUGUUCUUAA